rnacentral:tRNA from 1 species
GAGCCUGUGGCUCAAUGGUAGAGCGUUUGACUCAAAAACCGAAGUUGCUGUUUCAAAUCCCAGGUUUA